AAGUCGUAACAAGGUUUCCGUAGGUGAACCUGCGGAAGGAUCAUUACUGAGAGAGGGGCUUCGCGCUCCCGGGGGCUUCGGCCCCUAACUCUUCACCCAUUGUCUAUCUACCUUUGUUGCUUUGGCGGGUCCUGAGGACCUCUCGCGCCGGCGCACCCGCCGGCGAGUGCCCGCCAGAGGCCCAUUAAAAUCUACUUAUCAGUGAUGUCCGAGUGAAAAACAAUAAUUAAAACUUUCAACAACGGAUCUCUUGGUUCCAGCAUCGAUGAAGAACGCAGCGAAAUGCGAUAACUAAUGUGAAUUGCAGAAUUCAGUGAAUCAUCGAGUCUUUGAACGCACAUUGCGCCCCUCGGUAUUCCGGGGGGCAUGCCUGUUCGAGCGUCAUUAUACCCCUCAAGCGUAGCUUGGUAUUGGGCCUCGCCCCCGUGGCGUGCCCGAAAAGCAGUGGCGGUCCGGUGCGACUUUAAGCGUAGUAAAAUCAUCCCACUUUGAAAGAUCGCCCCGUGGCCGGCCAGACAACCCCACAUAUUCCAAAUCAUUGACCUCGGAUCAGGUAGGGAUACCCGCUGAACUUAA
rnacentral:rRNA from 1 species